AGCCCUCAGGCUCUUCCUAAGGAUACCUCCACUGAUGAAGGUACACCAUCACCAUUCAUCCUCCAUUCAUGAGGAAGAAGCUGACAUUGGAUUUUAUGAUGGAGGAUGACAAGACCUACACAGACCUUCUCGCAAGCCUUAAGAGGUAGCUUACUGCUCAUGAGCUUGCGCUCACAAUGCUGAAGACCAUGCGGGGAUGGAGGAAGAAGGGACGCAAGAAGGUCUCCAAAACUUCCUGACGUAAAGCAGUUGUGGGAGGAAGUCGUGAUGAGCGAGUCCUCGUCUUCUGGCAUCACCAAAACAGCUACACAAUGUCGUAAACGGCACAAUGAUGUCAGAAGACGGGGAAAUCAAAAGCUUGCCGCAUACCGAAAGUAGUGUUUGGAGACAGGAGGGGGACUGGGCAACACUGAGGUUCUGACACCAGCGGAGGACCUCGCUGCUCUACCCUCAUAGCAUUGAGGGUUUUGGAGGGUUAGAAAUAGGUGUCCAACAUCAAGCUCUGUUGGCUGAAGAUUCUCCUGUGCCCAGAACCAGUGGAGUGGAGCAGGGGGCCAGAUGUGGACGGAGAAGUGCAACCAACAACAUUGAGGUCCAAGGGAGCAAUGUCAGCAUCGGCCACGGCUGUCUUCGAUAUGCUGGAGAGAGAGCUGGUUGGAAUUUGGCACAGUGUUUGGCACAGACAUCAGCUCGGACAACUCCAUAGGAAACAACAGGGAGGAGGCAUAAAAUGACUGGACCCUAAAGUGAAACCAGGAGACUGGGUGUUCAUCAUAGAAGAAUUAUACUAGCCACUCCUACCGCAGUGAAGGUACAGGGGAAGACUUCUUGGACGCAUCUCGCACUGUAAGAUACGGGACCUUCCAGCUGCAGAGUCGACCGCCGUGAAGGGGAAAAAAUCUGACUACACAGGGGUCUAGAAAAUAUAGAAUCUAGUCGUCUCAACGUCAGUGUUGUUUAAACAGAGCCUCCACGGCUUAGUGACGAUGCCUGGGGGUCACGGACCUUUGGUGUGGAGGCUGGUCCUCGGAGGGGUCAUUACCCUCACCUUGCUGGGAAUUGUGCUGCAAGGCCUAAGUGGAACUGCACAGACUGCUACAAGGACUGAACAAUGACUUUUUCAUGAGAGACAAAGGAAGCCAAAACAAAAGAUGGAUUUUGUCUGAAGAUCUGCAUACCUACAACAUAACACAUGUGUAUUACCUUGUUUUCGCCAUCUUAUAACCAAGACUGUGAAUGCUAAUAUGGCUACUUUGUUUUUGCAAGAAGAGACAUGUAGGUUCCUUGCUGAGGACAACAGUGAAGUGUAAUGAUUAAUUGAUUAACCUCAUGAUCAGCAAUGAAGUUGUUACAGAAAACCUGUAUUGGAUAUGUUACAAUGGAACAGAUGAUUGUGAAAGUUACCAAUGAUAAACAGGAGGGAAAUGUAAAGGAAUUAUUAUUAUCACUGUAUAACCAUACCAGUGUUAUGUCUUGCUUCCUAUUUUCUGUCUGCAUCUGUACAAUAAAAGACACAGCUUUUGGGCUGCAGGGUCAGAGACUGAUGGUGAAGGGUGAAGGGCAAACCCAUACUACGUGUCUAUAUGUUGGGGUAAAUUCCCUGACAUUCAGCUAGUUCAUUUAAGAUAAUAUAUUGGUCAUUGUAAUGGCCAUAGCCUAUACAUGCUAUUUCUU